rnacentral:lncRNA from 1 species
CAGAUCCUCACUCUAGCAUAUAUAACUAGAGUGAAAAAAUAUAUUAAACUCGGUUAAUCCUGAAAUAUAUAUUCAGAAAUUAACCACCCCCUACUUUCGGGUAAUAUCAAAUUCGACCUACCUCAAUACAUAUACUUGAGGUCGAGUCACAUCUCCACCUUAUAAUAUACAACCAAGAUGAAUAUAAUCGGACUCUAAGACAUAUACUUCGAGCCAAUUAGACUCUAAUAUAUAGAGUUUAAAAUCGACCGGGUCUUAACACAUAUACUUUGGACCUAGUCAAUCUCAAAUCCAACUCAAUCCUAAUACAUAUGUUUAGGAUUCAAUAAACCGAGAUACGAUUCAUCUCAUCCAAUUUAUAAAGGUCUCUUAAUCGAAGGUGCCCCAAUCUACAGGGGGUAAUUAACAAUAGAUGCUUGCAUCUAUUGGAAGUCAUGGACCCGCGAUACCUGAUACUCAUACACAUAUACAUAUACAUACCAAUCUGAAUCAUGAAUACUACCCCACGGCCCAAAAAUUCAUCGACCGUGCGAGAUGCGUCAUUCGUGGUGGCAGACAAUCUUAUAUAUAUAUAUAUAUGUAUAUACAUAUAUGUAUAUGUAUAUACAUAUAUGUAUAUACAUAUAUGUAUAUACAUAUACAUAUAUGUAU